AGGAUCCCGACUCAACCCCCGGCUUUCUUUCUAGAAAGAAGCCCCCUACUCCCGCCCAUAUGCCUACCUCAUCUUCAUUAUAGGCGGCCCCCACUUCUGUCCCCAUUACCUCACACACACACCAAUCCCUACUGGGCCCCCUUUGCCUGCCGGCAUCAUCACCACCUUCAAGCUUCCUAGGUCCCCAGUCGUGUCUGCCCCCUGCUGGGUCGGCUCCAGGUUGCAGGAGCAAAAGGCUUUCCGUGCCCCAGAUUUCCAGGGUAUCAGCAGGGCCCCCCUUCCCCAGAAAGGUAGCAGCAGAGCUACUGACCACUGACAAGAUUUCUGGGCCCUUGUGCUAGAAAGGACUCCUAAUCCACCUGCUCCAGCCAAGAGAGCAGUCCAGGGUCAUGUUUCCCACACACCAGCCUACAAUCAAGGCACCCAGCUUCAACCAUGAAUUUUCUUUUUUCUCUUGGCACUCCUCUGAAAUAGAAAAGGUAUCAGACCUGACUAGGGUGAACAUGUGGUACAUAUAGUUGGCAUCUCCAUCCACUUAAGCCAUUACUUGGAAGAGGACAAAUAGGGAGUCUGAGGUGGACAGACGAAGUUGUUUCUGAAUGAAGAGGAGAGAGGCAGGGUGGCCCUCUAAAAAGGUCAGCCAGAAGUAGUUGUAUCUGAUCCACUGGGUGGCAGGGAAUGAGACUCUUGCAGUAAAAUGGACUGGAGACUUAGAAGGAAAAACAGAAGGUCAAAGUGGCCCUCCAGACAGGAAAGAACAGCUAGAAAAAGGUCUUUGGAGUAUGGCAAAGCGAAAGAAAGGUGUCAUUAGUACCAAAGAGAUGGCUGGCAUUAGAGUGGUCAAAUAGGAGAACUUGAGAGUUCACAUGAGCGGGGAUGGGAAGAAAUGGAUCAAAAUCCAAAUGAGAAAAGCAGGGGUCCCAAUGUUACCUGGAAGGAUGAGAAACUGACACCUUCUCCCAGGGCAGAAGUGAGGGUACUGACUGACCUAGGAAAAGUGGGUUUACCCCCAACACUUUUUUCUCAAACCAGAGGUAGUAAGGGUGACAUGGAGCACGAAUGCACAAAGGGCAGAAGUCUGUGAUAGGAGAUAGCAGCCCCCCACAGAAGUCUUCAGCUGUGCAGAGCUGCUCAAUACCAUUCAGACAAAGGAAUGUCUCCCCAUUUUAUCUGAGCUUUAGCACCAACCACAGCAGCUACCAUUUCCUGAGGCUCAUGUGCCAGGGACAGUGCUAAAAGCAUUACACGCAUCAUCUCAUUUAAAGCCUCACAACAACCCUGAGUUAGUAUUACUAUCCCAAUUUAAAGAUAAGGAAAAGGGCCUAGAGAGUUGAAGUAGCUUGCCCAAGGUCACACAGCUCUUAAGUGGAAUCAGGAUCUGAAUCCAAGUAGUCUGACUCUAUAACCUACAGUCUUAAUCACCCAUCUUGGGGUUCUCCAGAGCCUGCAGGAAACCCAAAAGAGGACAUCGAGGACUCCUCAAUUCUCGUUCUUACAGGAAACAGGGGCACCUCUGUGAAACCGGAGUGACUCAUACCAGUAGAGUAUUUAGAGAUGUCCCUCUUUAAAAGAACUGUCCCCAGAUAAGGGAAGAUCUUGCAUGUGCCAUAUGUUUGGGGGUACCAAGCAAUGGAAAGCGCAUCCCCGGUAGGCUUGUGCAAAAGAGACACCCACCUCCUCAUCUCGGAGGAGCACCCACAUCUCUAGCAUACUUCAGGGAGACUCUGCCCUAAGGUCUGAGAGAAACAUUCUCCACUCCAGGUGUCGGUUUGCUCUCCCGGAGCCUCUGGCUGUCGCACCCUACUGCAGCUCCUGGGUUUGGCUGGAGCGCAGGAUUAGCCAUCCCCAGGAAAUGCCUCCCUCCGGUCCAGGCAAGGAUCCCAGCACACACACCCCUGGCGAAGGGAGUCCUGGGAAGCUGGGGGAUCAUCUGCUUGGUGAUAUCUCUGCUCCUCCAGCAGCCAGGAGUCCACAGCAAGUGCUACUUUCAAGCUCAAG